CCUACGGGAGGCAGCAGUGGGGAAUAUUGCACAAUGGGGGAAACCCUGAUGCAGCGACGCCGCGUGAGCGAUGAAGUAUUUCGGUAUGUAAAGCUCUAUCAGCAGGGAAGAAAAUGACGGUACCUGACUAAGAAUCCCCGGCUAACUACGUGCCAGCAGCCGCGGUAAUACGGAGGGGGCAAGCGUUAUCCGGAUUUACUGGGUGUAACGGGAGCGUAGACGGUCCUGCAAGCCAGAUGUGAAAGCCCGGGGCUCAACCCCGGGACUGCAUUUGGAACUGUAAGGCUAGAGUGUCGGAGAGGCAGGCGGAAUUCCUAGUGUAGCGGUGAAAUGCGUAGAUAUUAGGAGGAACAUCAGUGGCGAAGGCGACUAUCUGGCACAUAACUGACGCUGAGGAGCGAAAGCGUGGGUAGCAAACAGGAUUAGAUACCCUUGUAGUC
rnacentral:rRNA from 1 species